UAGCCGGGGGAGGUCUCUGGACGUAACGUUCGCAUGUAGUGACCCUUCCUCACGGUGUGUACCAUGACAGUGCCAUCCUGGAAUAUUACUGGACAUGACUGAAGAUUAUCAGAGUAUUCGAGUGCUGAUUUAACUACUCGUUGCCAUUCCAAAUACAUUCAGGACCUGCCAAAUGACACAAGUUGUGUCCCUUGAUCCAGUAAUCAGGUGGCUGCCACAGUAGUCUAGAGCCAAACAUGUCACAAUGUCUGGAAGUAACAAUAUGGGGUCAACUUUCACCAUGUGUCAUCUCCAAGGGAGUUAGUUCACAAAAUGUUGCUUAUUGGAGCUCCUUAGCCCUUUUUCUCGAAAACAACCUCAGAUGUAUGCCCGUACAUCAGUAGAAGUAGAGCCUAAAUGUUUUAAUUAUAUCAUUAAUUAAAUGUAGUGUUUAAGCUUGAAUUCAUUGAUCUGAGAUUAAAAUGAUUGCCAGUGAAGAGAAUUAUUUCUACCACACGAUCUUCUUGCAGCGGACUUAAACAUACCAAUUUCUGAGUAUGUAAACCGUCCAUAUACAUCCGAGGUUGUUUCCAAGAAAGAUGGCUGAGGAGUUCCGAAUAUUCGUCCCAGAUGAUAGAAGUUGUGUCCCUUUACCAAGCAAUAAGCUGAUUGUCACUGUUGUCUAACCAGGAACAUUACAAUGUCUGAUAAAACAGUUCAGUGGUAUAUUACUUUGUGUUUGCCAUGGGCUGGGGAGGGUUUGGCUACAUGCCAAUUUACCCAUUGCUUAAAAAACUGCAUGGACACAAUCAAAAUGAAUUUCACUUGUUAAAUGAUACCAUGUAAUACACUUAUAUUGACAGGACAUUAAACUAAAUUACCUCCGCUCUCCGUAUUAAUAUAAGUUUGUUUUAUGAAAGAAUCUAUUACAUUGACAUUCAUUUUUUUCUUUAUUAAUUCUAUGCAAUAUCUUUGAUUGGUUUAAAUGUUAUGAGUAUACUAAAUCAAGGUGACAUAACAUCAUGCAUAUUAUGAGGCAGCUUGCGGGCAAUGUGGUAGAUGUGUAUACUACUGUUCUGGUGUUCUCACUUCUA